CCGCGGAAGGGGAGGAAAGGAGAGGACAAGAUUCCGGAAAGAGCAAUCUUACAUAGUUAGGAGUACUUGGUACCGAUGUUAUUUUAGUGACCGAAUGCAAUUAUCGGGCACAAUACACCGCUACUGUUUCUAGAUGGUUUUUGUGCAUUCAGUUCUUUACAUCAUUUUUAAGUUUUUUUUACGGGACAUGUCUUGUGAUUUUACCGUAUGCUGUUGGGAGGAUGCAUGUGUUGAUUAGGUUAGAUUAGAUCAAACCAUAACCAUACUGUAAACUUAAUUUGUUUGGCUCAAUUUUACUCUACACAAUAUUUUUAGUCCGUACAUAAAAAUAUCUUAAUCAAAAUGGGCCUUAUUGUUUUGCAAUUUGGCC
rnacentral:lncRNA from 1 species